rnacentral:rRNA from 1 species
GCNCGGUCUCGCGAACAUCUGUUUAAAGUUGAUCAUGGACUCACAGUGNACGUUAGGCGGUAAGCCUAACACAUGCAAGUCGAACGGCAGCACAGGUGAGCUUGCUCUCUGGGUGGCGAGUGGCGGACGGGUGAGGAAUACAUCGGAAUCUACUCUGUCGUGGGGGAUAACGUAGGGAAACUUACGCUAAUACCGCAUACGACCUACGGGUGAAAGCAGGGGAUCUUCGGACCUUGCGCGAUUGAAUGAGCCGAUGUCGGAUUAGCUAGUUGGCGGGGUAAAGGCCCACCAAGGCGACGAUCCGUAGCUGGUCUGAGAGGAUGAUCAGCCACACUGGAACUGAGACACGGUCCAGACUCCUACGGGAGGCAGCAGUGGGGAAUAUUGGACAAUGGGCGCAAGCCUGAUCCAGCCAUACCGCGUGGGUGAAGAAGGCCUUCGGGUUGUAAAGCCCUUUUGUUGGGAAAGAAAUCCAGCCGGCUAAUACCUGGUUGGGAUGACGGUACCCAAAGAAUAAGCACCGGCUAACUUCGUGCCAGCAGCCGCGGUAAUACGAACGGGUGCAAGCGUUACUCGGAAUUCUGGGCGUAAAGCGUGCGUAGGUUGGCUUCUUCUACGUCCCGUUGUGGAAAAGCCCUGGGGCUCAACCCUGGGAACCUGNCGUUGGAUUCCUGGGAUGACNUAGGAAAUUGGU